UAAAGCUUCUGAUGCUGGGUUAUUGAGAACAUAGUUUUCAAAGAGACUCCUCUACGCUUUCAGAUACUCCUUUUCCUCAUCUGCAAUCUUGAAGUAAAAACUGCAUUGCAGUUGGAUAUGAAACUAAAAUGGAGAAAUAUUUAGGAAGUGCCCCCGCACAGUGCCUACCUUGUGAAAAUAAUCAAACGAGGACUUAGAAUGAACAAACUCAGGACUUAGAAUGGAGUUUGAGAGCAAGGAGAAGCAUAAUCCCUCACUCCCAGAAAGAAUUGGAAUUGGGACAGUUGAGUCAAUAUUGUUGCAAGUGUUAUAAAGCAGAGGCAUGUACUUGUGAAGAGCAUGAUAUGACCACAUGGAUCAUCCGGGUUAUUGUGGACUUUGGAAUCUAGAUGAGCCAUGAUAAAACAGUGCCUUUGGAAACAUUGGUUUUAUGUUUCAUAGAAUGUGCUACACAUAAACAGUGUUUUAUGCACGAAGAUCAGUUGUGAAAUAAUGAGCCAUGAGAGAAUGUUUCAGACAAAUAAAAUAAUAGUCCUUGAAAACACAUUGUAAUGUAUGAUUAUGAAAUUUGAAUAGUAUACUAUGGAGUCUUAAAAGCUGAAGACUUAAGCAGCUUAGGGACAUAAGGCUCUAAUCUCUAUUUGUGUGAGGUUGAGGAGGAUUUGAGAAGGAAGUGAAAGCUCCUAGCAUGUCCCCAUUACCAGUCCCCUGCCUGUCUCUCCUAUCUCAACUCUCAUAGCAAUAGAGAUCAGAUUUUAAAUUUUGACCAUGCCCAAUUAGUUUAGUUUCCCAAGGUCAUCGUGUAAUUUCUACCAUAGAUUAUCUAGUCACAUCUCUCCUGAGAUCACUUUCCCAUUUCAUAACUAAAAACUCUUAUUGAACAUUUAGACUGUUUUGUGACUAACACUCUCUAAAGUCUUUUCUGAUGUUCCAGGGAAUAACUGAUGAUGCUGAAUCUGUAUUCAUUUUUACCCUGUAUUGAAUUAUAUCAUUAACAUUCUGAUACCCUAUUGUAACUAUUUGUUUAUAUAUGUUCCUUGCUCAGUAGAAUAUAACUGUGAAGACAGGGAUGUUUUCACUGGGUGAAUUUUUAUAAUCCCAACAAACAGCAUAGUGCCUGGACAACUGGAAAUCUCUCCCAUUUGUUGUAUAAAAUAAUAGAUGAGUCGAAGCUGGGAUGACCAGUUUUGUUUUGGGAGGGUGAGUGUUGGACAGUAUACAGAUUUCUUGGAUGAGCUUGUUUGUAGAAAUUCAGGGCUCAUUACAGUUACAGUCUUUUGAAGAAAUUCAUUGUACUUUGAAAAAAAGAAUUGGGCAUACCAUAAGACUUUCACAUCUUGAUAGAUAAUUAGUUCACUUUAGAUGAAUAAACAACAUUAUCAAAUGAUAUUGCUUGAAUACAUUGAUUUCUGGAGUCACUUUUGGCUCAAGAAGAUUAUGGAUAAGUGGAUAACUUUAGGGAAAGAUACAAUACCCAAUUUUGGGGGGAGGUUUGCUAGUGAUCAGUAGAAAGAGUAGCACAAAGGAAAAAAAUCAUAGUUAUGAGACUUCUUGCCCUGUCAUAAGCAUCCCAGUUGUAAUGAGGUUCUAUUGUUGCUUACAGAAAAGAUAUUCCAUGGUAGGGCUGGAUGCCCACGCAGGCCAAUGGCCAGCACAUAGGGAACAAGUUGUUCUGUUCUACUUGCUUCAUGUAGCUUUUCUUACUCCAGUGGAAAAAAAAAUCCAACUAGGUGAGAGUGUAUAACCAGAGACAAGCUGCUUAUUAGCAAUACAAGGAAAAGUAAUUGUGCAAUAGAGUAAUGACAAUGAAAAUUAGUGCUCAUCCCCAGGAUUCAAGACCAUAGCCACUCAGAGAUCACAGGGAGCUUCACAUGCUGUCUAUCACAGCCAAGCAUUUACAAGCCAAUAUUAAUAUAAACAGUGCACUAAAAAAGAAUGUAAAACUAGACCUAUUAUGUUAGAUCCUGGAAAAAAGGAUCUUGGGACAGAGGGCAAGUGUGGACCAAUCAAAAAUUCGACUUUUGGAAGAGUUAUAUUUUUCUUUUCUUUUUUAUUGGGUUUUUAAUGUUGUGUGUAACUAAAUAAAAUACAGAAGGACUAAAG
rnacentral:lncRNA from 10 species